rnacentral:rRNA from 1 species
GACAGAGGGUGCAACCGUUGUUCGGAUUUACUGGGCGUAAAGCGCGUGUAGGCGGCCUUGCAAGUUGGAUGUGAAAGCCCACGGCUCAACCGUGGAAGCGCAUCCAAAACUGCAUCGCUCGAGUCUCGGAGAGGAAGGUGGAAUGCUUGGUGUAGAGGUGAAAUUCGUAGAUAUCAAGCAGAACACCUGCGGCGAAGGCGGCCUUCUGGACGAUGACUGACGCUGAGACGCGAAAGCGUGGGGAGCAAACAGG